rnacentral:rRNA from 2 species
AAACCAACAGGGAUUGCCUUAGUAACGGCGAGUGAAGCGGCAAAAGCUCAAAUUUGAAAUCUGGCACUUUCAGUGUCCGAGUUGUAAUUUGAAGAAGGUAACUCUGGAGUUGGCCCUUGUCUAUGUUCCUUGGAACAGGACGUCACAGAGGGUGAGAAUCCCGUGCGAUGGGGUGUCCAAUCUAUGUAGAGUGCUUUCGAAGAGUCGAGUUGUUUGGGAAUGCAGCUCUAAGUGGGUGGUAAAUUCCAUCUAAAGCUAAAUAUUGGCGAGAGACCGAUAGCGAACAAGUACAGUGAUGGAAAGAUGAAAAGAACUUUGAAAAGAGAGUGAAAAAGUACGUGAAAUUGUUGAAAGGGAAGGGCUUGAGAUCAGACUCGGUAUUUUGCGAUCCUAUCCUUCGUGGAGAGGUUUCACUUGCAGCUUACCGGGCCAGCAUCGGUUUGGAUGGUAGGAUAAUGACAUUGGAAUGUGGCUUUUCGGAGUGUUAUAGCCUUUGUUGAUACUGCCUAUCUAGACCGAGGACUGCGUCUUUGACUAGGAUGCUGGCAUAAUGAUCUUAAGCCGC